rnacentral:rRNA from 1 species
CCUACGGGAGGCAGCAGUGGGGAAUAUUGGGCAAUGGGCGCAAGCCUGACCCAGCAACGCCGCGUGAAGGAAGAAGGCUUUCGGGUUGUAAACUUCUUUUCUCAGGGACGAAGCAAGUGACGGUACCUGUAGAAUAAGCCACGGCUCACUACGUGCCAGCAGCCGCGGUAAUACGAAGGUGGCAAGCGUUAUCCGGAUUUACUGGGUGUAAAGGGCGUGUAGGCGGGAAAGCAAGUCAGAUGUGAAAACCAUGGGCUCAACCUGUGGCCUGCAUUGGAAACUGUUUUUCUUGAGUGCUGGAGAGGCAGACGGAAGUCCUAGUGUAGCGGUGAAAUGCGUAGAUAUUAGGAGGAACACCAGUGGCGAAGGCGGCCUGCUGGACAGCAACUGACGCUGAGGCGCGAAAGCGUGGGGAGCAAACAGGAUUAGAUACCCGGGUAGUC